rnacentral:tRNA from 1 species
GGAGAGAUGGCAGAGCGGUUUAUUGCGUCGGUCUUGAAAACCGAAGUGCUGGAGACGGUACCGUGGGUUCGAAUCCCUCUCUCUCCGCCA